GGGUUGUGAGGUUAAGCGACUAAGCGUACACGGUGGAUGCCCUGGCAGUCAGAGGCGAUGAAGGACGUGCUAAUCUGCGAAAAGCGCCGGCGAGGUGAUAUGAACCUUUGACCCGGCGAUGUCCGAAUGGGGAAACCCAGUGUGUUCCGACACACUAUCGUUAACUGAAUACAUAGGUUAACGAGGCGAACCGGGGGAACUGAAACAUCUAAGUACCCCGAGGAAAAGAAAUCAACCGAGAUUCCCCCAGUAGCGGCGAGCGAACGGGGAGCAGCCCGGAGUCUGAAUCAGCUUGUGUGUUAGUGGAACGGUCUGGAAAGUCCGACGGUACAGGGUGAUAGUCCCGUACACGAAAGCACACUUGCUGUGAACUCGAAGAGUAGGGCGGGACACGUGGUAUCCUGUCUGAAUAUGGGGGGACCAUCCUCCAAGGCUAAAUACUCCUGACUGACCGAUAGUGAACCAGUACCGUGAGGGAAAGGCGAAAAGAACCCCGGCGAGGGGAGUGAAAAAGAACCUGAAACCGUGUACGUACAAGCAGUGGGAGCACCUUCGUGGUGUGACUGCGUACCUUUUGUAUAAUGGGUCAGCGACUUAUAUUCUGUAGCAAGGUUAACCGUAUAGGGGAGCCGAAGGGAAACCGAGUCUUAACUGGGCGUUAAGUUGCAGGGUAUAGACCCGAAACCCGGUGAUCUAGCCAUGGGCAGGUUGAAGGUUGGGUAACACUAACUGGAGGACCGAACCGACUAAUGUUGAAAAAUUAGCGGAUGACCUGUGGCUGGGGGUGAAAGGCCAAUCAAACCGGGAGAUAGCUGGUUCUCCCCGAAAGCUAUUUAGGUAGCGCCUCGUGAACUCAUCUUCGGGGGUAGAGCACUGUUUCGGCUAGGGGGCCAUCCCGGCUUACCAACCCGAUGCAAACUACGAAUACCGAAGAAUGUUAUCACGGGAGACACACGGCGGGUGCUAACGUCCGUCGUGAAGAGGGAAACAACCCAGACCGCCAGCUAAGGUCCCAAAGUCAUGGUUAAGUGGGAAACGAUGUGGGAAGGCACAGACAGCCAGGAUGUUGGCUUAGAAGCAGCCAUCAUUUAAAGAAAGCGUAAUAGCUCACUGGUCGAGUCGGCCUGCGCGGAAGAUGUAACGGGGCUAAACCAUGCACCGAAGCUGCGGCAGCGACACUAUGUGUUGUUGGGUAGGGGAGCGUUCUGUAAGCCGUUGAAGGUGUGCUGUGAGGCAUGCUGGAGGUAUCAGAAGUGCGAAUGCUGACAUAAGUAACGAUAAAGCGGGUGAAAAGCCCGCUCGCCGGAAGACCAAGGGUUCCUGUCCAACGUUAAUCGGGGCAGGGUGAGUCGACCCCUAAGGCGAGGCCGAAAGGCGUAGUCGAUGGGAAACAGGUUAAUAUUCCUGUACUUGGUGUUACUGCGAAGGGGGGACGGAGAAGGCUAUGUCAGCCGGGCGACGGUUGUCCCGGUUUAAGCAUGUAGGCGGAGGUUCCAGGUAAAUCCGGUACCUUGUUAACGCUGAGGUGUGAUGACGAGGCACUACGGUGCUGAAGUGAUAAAUGCCCUGCUUCCAGGAAAAGCCUCUAAGCAUCAGGUAACACGAAAUCGUACCCCAAACCGACACAGGUGGUCAGGUAGAGAAUACCAAGGCGCUUGAGAGAACUCGGGUGAAGGAACUAGGCAAAAUGGUGCCGUAACUUCGGGAGAAGGCACGCUGAUGUGUAGGUGAAGUCCCUGCGGACGGAGCUGAAAUCAGUCGAAGAUACCAGCUGGCUGCAACUGUUUAUUAAAAACACAGCACUGUGCAAACACGAAAGUGGACGUAUACGGUGUGACGCCUGCCCGGUGCCGGAAGGUUAAUUGAUGGGGUUAGCUGUAAGGCGAAGCUCUUGAUCGAAGCCCCGGUAAACGGCGGCCGUAACUAUAACGGUCCUAAGGUAGCGAAAUUCCUUGUCGGGUAAGUUCCGACCUGCACGAAUGGCGUAAUGAUGGCCAGGCUGUCUCCACCCGAGACUCAGUGAAAUUGAACUCGCUGUGAAGAUGCAGUGUACCCGCGGCAAGACGGAAAGACCCCGUGAACCUUUACUAUAGCUUGACACUGAACACUGGUCCUUGAUGUGUAGGAUAGGUGGGAGGCUUUGAAGCGUGGACGCCAGUCUGCGUGGAGCCGCCCUUGAAAUACCACCCUUUAAUGGCUGGUGUUCUAACGUAGACCCGUAAUCCGGGUUGCGGACAGUGUCUGGUGGGUAGUUUGACUGGGGCGGUCUCCUCCCAAAGAGUAACGGAGGAGCACGAAGGUUGGCUAAUCCUGGUCGGACAUCAGGAGGUUAGUGCAAUGGCAUAAGCCAGCUUGACUGCGAGCGUGACGGCGCGAGCAGGUGCGAAAGCAGGUCAUAGUGAUCCGGUGGUUCUGAAUGGAAGGGCCAUCGCUCAACGGAUAAAAGGUACUCCGGGGAUAACAGGCUGAUACCGCCCAAGAGUUCAUAUCGACGGCGGUGUUUGGCACCUCGAUGUCGGCUCAUCACAUCCUGGGGCUGAAGUAGGUCCCAAGGGUAUGGCUGUUCGCCAUUUAAAGUGGUACGCGAGCUGGGUUUAGAACGUCGUGAGACAGUUCGGUCCCUAUCUGCCGUGGGCGCUGGAGAAUUGAGGGGGGCUGCUCCUAGUACGAGAGGACCGGAGUGGACGCAUCACUGGUGUUCGGGUUGUCAUGCCAAUGGCACUGCCCGGUAGCUAAAUGCGGAAGAGAUAAGUGCUGAAAGCAUCUAAGCACGAAACUUGCCCCGAGAUGAGUUCUCCCUGAGACUUUAAGUCUCCUGAAGGAACGUUGAAGACGACGACGUUGAUAGGUCGGGUGUGUAAGCGCAGCGAUGCGUUGAGCUAACCGAUACUAAUGAACCGUGAGGCUUAACCUUACAACGCCGAAG
rnacentral:rRNA from 1 species